GGGGAUUUAGCUCAGCGGCAUAAGUAUCUGCCUUGCAAGCAGACAGUUGUGAAUUCGAUCCCCA
rnacentral:tRNA from 1 species